CCGGUGAUCCUGCCGGACCUGACUGCUAUCGGAUUGAUACUAAGCCAUGCGAGUCAUUGUAGCAAUACAAGGCAGACGGCUCAGUAACGCGUAGUCAACCUACCCUAUGGACGGGGAUAACCUCGGGAAACUGAGAAUAAUACCCGAUAGAACAUUAUGCCUGGAAUGGCUUAUGUUUCAAAUAAUUUAUUGCCGUAGGAUGGGACUGCGGCCUAUCAGUUUGUUGGUGAGGUAAUGGCCCACCAAGACUAUUACAGGUACGGGCUCUGAGAGGAGUAGCCCGGAGAUGGGUACUGAGACACGGACCCAGGCCCUAUGGGGCGCAGCAGGCGAGAAAACUUUGCAAUGUGCGAAAGCACGACAAGGUUAAUCCGAGUGAUUUCUGCUAAAGGAAUCUUUUGUCAGUCCUAGAAACACUGUUGAAUAAGGGGUGGGCAAGUUCUGGUGUCAGCCGCCGCGGUAAAACCAGCACCUCAAGUGGUCAGGAUGAUUAUUGGGCCUAAAGCAUCCGUAGCCGGCUCUGUAAGUUUUCGGUUAAAUCUGUACGCUCAACGUACAGGCUGCUGGGAAUACUGCAGAACUAGGGAGUGGGAGAGAUAGACGGUACUCGGGAGGAAGUGGUAAAAUGCUUUGAUCUCUCGAUGACCACCUGUGGCGAAGGCGGUCUAUCAGAACACGUCCGACGGUGAGGGAUGAAAGCUGGGGGAGCAAACCGGAUUAGAUACCCGGGUAGUCCCUGCUGUAAACUAUGCAAACUCAAUGAUGCAUUGACUUAUGGUCAAUGCAGUGUUGCAGGGAAGCCGUUAAGUUUGCCGCCUGGGAAGUACGUACGCAAGUAUGAAACUUAAAGGAAUUGGCGGGGGAGCACCACAAGGGGUGAAGCCUGCGGUUC
rnacentral:rRNA from 1 species